GGAGGGUUCGCAUAGCGGUCUAGUGCGCGCGCUUGGAAAGCGCGUAAGGGGUAACUCCCUUCGAGAGUUCGAAUCUCUCACCCUCCGCCA
rnacentral:tRNA from 5 species